rnacentral:rRNA from 1 species
GCAUCAAAGCUCGUUAAGACUAGAUGGGGUAUCCCUACAUAGUGGGUGGGACCCACGGCGAAUGGUUCAUCAAGUCUUCAAAAAAGAAUAUAUACGAUUGCAUUGCAUAUACUAACGGAUGCGAUCAUACCAGCACUAAUGCACCGGAUCCCAUCAGAACUCCGCAGUUAAGCGUGCUUGGGCGAGAGUAGUACUAGGAUGGGUGACCUCCCGGGAAGUCCUCGUGUUGCAUCCCUCUUUUAUGUUUAACCUUUUUUUUUUUGGGUUUAAAACUUUAUGACUCCAUAACUUCUACCAGA